CCCUUAGAUGUUCUGGGCCGCACGCGCGCUACACUGAUGCAUACAACGAGUUUCUUCCUGGUCCGAGAGGAAUGGGUAACCUUUUGAAAGUGCAUCGUGAUAGGGAUAGACUAUUGCAAUUAUUGGUCUUCAACGAGGAAUUCCUAGUAGACGUAGUUCAUCAGACUGCAUCGAUUACGUCCCUGCCCUUUGUACACACCGCCCGUCGCUCCUACCGAUUGAAUGCUCAGGUGAGCCAUUCGGACUUUCAUCAUGCUGGUUUCCAGUUUUGAUGAAGGAAAGUCUUGCGAACCUUAUCAUUUAGAGGAAGGAGAAGUCGUAACA
rnacentral:rRNA from 1 species